AUUGAACGCUGGCGGCAGGCCUAACACAUGCAAGUCGGACGGUAGCACAGAGAGCUUGCUCUUGGGUGACGAGUGGCGGACGGGUGAGUAAUGUCUGGGGAUCUGCCCGAUAGAGGGGGAUAACCACUGGAAACGGUGGCUAAUACCGCAUAACGUCGCAAGACCAAAGAGGGGGACCUUCGGGCCUCUCACUAUCGGAUGAACCCAGAUGGGAUUAGCUAGUAGGCGGGGUAAUGGCCCACCUAGGCGACGAUCCCUAGCUGGUCUGAGAGGAUGACCAGCCACACUGGAACUGAGACACGGUCCAGACUCCUACGGGAGGCAGCAGUGGGGAAUAUUGCACAAUGGGCGCAAGCCUGAUGCAGCCAUGCCGCGUGUAUGAAGAAGGCCUUCGGGUUGUAAAGUACUUUCAGCGGGGAGGAAGGCGAUGGGGUUAAUAAC
rnacentral:rRNA from 1 species